rnacentral:rRNA from 1 species
ACGGGAAACCGGAGCUAAUACCGAUAAUAUAUUGAACCGCAUGGUUCAAUAGUGAAANGACGGUUUUGCUGUCACUUAUAGAUGGAUCCGCGCCGCAUUAGCUAGUUGGUAAGGUAACGGCUUACCAAGGCAACGAUGCGUAGCCGACCUGAGAGGGUGAUCGGCCACACUGGAACUGAGACACGGUCCAGACUCCUACGGGAGGCAGCAGC